rnacentral:lncRNA from 1 species
AUUUAGAGCGCGUCUGGUGGCAUUGGCAGUGCGGCAACUCGCGGCGUAUUUCGGCUGCAGGUAUGUUUAGGUGCUCCGUUUGUUUACCGUCUCAUCUGUAAUUUUUUUUAUUGUGUGUUGCUCUCAGUAAUUGCAGCGAGAGCAGUGAAUGCUGGCUGGUAGACUGAGCUAUGACACCGGUUGUGAGUAACCAUAUAGCGUUGCAUCUAAUGUUU